rnacentral:lncRNA from 1 species
CAUCAUGCAUCAUACCUGCCUUCUAAAUGCAAAGACACAGGUAAAAUUAAGCAUACCUCUUUCAUUAACAGAUGGACCCCUUCAGGCUGAUUACUCUGAAUAAUUUCCAAGAGUAUUGGAGCAAAUGUUGAGCUCAAUCUGCUGAUCUGGACAACCCUCUGGUGGGUGGUGAGGACUGCAUCCACCUGCAUUUUGGAGCCUCGCUCUUCCAUGAACAGCACUUCGUUGGUUUUGGUGGGCAUCGCAUAGCUUUCAUUCACUCUAAUGGACAACUGGUUGCAGAGUUUAUGAACAUAUUGAGCGAAGUGCUCCACGAGACACAUAUCAUAGGAAGUCAUCUGGAUGUUAAUAUCUCCGUACUCAUGUUCAGUCCCAACAUUUAUCUCUUUCAUCUGUACUCUACCCCUUUUUCUCUUUGGAACCUCCUUUGGGAGCAAAUGUUUAUACUUCCCAAUGCCAUGUGUAGGACGGGAUCUGUAGUGUCUGUGGAAAUCCACAAGUGCAUCACCUGCAGCACACAGACAACUUUCUCUGGGUGUUGCUGCUCGGCUGAGAGCAAACACUUGCUUUAGCAAUGUUCCCUUUUUCAAGCACAGCACCACUGCGCUCAUCGCUCCGCAGGGCCACAGGGCCGCAGGGCCGCGUCCGCCGCUCACAGCGCUCCCCCGGCGGUGCACCCCCAAC